rnacentral:rRNA from 1 species
UGCCAGCAGCCGCGUAAUACGGAGGGGGCAAGCGUUAUCCGGAAUUAUUGGGCUUAAAGGGUGCGUAGGCGGCUUUGUAGGUGGGGUGUGAAAUCCCUCGGCUCAACCGAGGAACUGCGCCCCAAACCCCGAAGCUAGAGGGAGACAGAGGUAAGCGGAACUGAUGGUGGAGCGGUGAAAUGCGUUGAUAUCAUCAGGAACACCAGUGGCGAAGGCGGCUUACUGGGUCUCUUCUGACGCUGAGGCACGAAAGCUAGGGUAGCGAACGGGAUUAGAUA